GAUGAACGCUAGCGACAGGCUUAACACAUGCAAGUCGAGGGGUAACAGGGUAGCAAUACCGCUGACGACCGGCGCACGGGUGAGUAACGCGUAUGCAACCUGCCUAUAACUGGGGAAUAGCUCCCUGAAAGGGGAAUUAACACCGCAUAACACUAUUGAUUCGCAUGGAUUGGUAGUUAAAUGUAGCGAUACAGGUUAUAGAUGGGCAUGCGUGACAUUAGCUAGUUGGUGAGGUAACGGCUCACCAAGGCUACGAUGUCUAGGGGUUCUGAGAGGAAGGUCCCCCCACACUGGUACUGAGACACGGACCAGGACUCCUACGGGAGGCAGCAGUGAGGAAUAUUGGUCAAUGGGCGCAAGCCUGAACCAGCCAUGUCGCGUGCAGGAAGACUGCCCUAUGGGUUGUAAACUGCUUUUAUAGUAGAAGAAACACAUCUACGUGUAGAUGUCUGCCAGUAUACUAUGAAUAAGCAUCC
rnacentral:rRNA from 1 species